UUUGAGAAAAUUUUUAAAAUUUGGUUUGUUGAACUGGAUUAGUACCCAGGUAAUCAAAAUUAAUCAAUUCGGGAGUAAAGUUUUGUUUAAACCGAAAAAAUAUUGACUGACUCUGGAUUUCUUUUUGGAAUAUGUGUAUGGAGAGCCCUCUUUAAUAGUAAAUCUUUUUUUGCACAUGUAUGAUUGUUUAGUUUUUAUUUUGUUUUGUAAUGCUUUCCUUUUGGAUUUAAAACAGAUAUAUACUUGGCUUAUGGGUUUAUUAAUC
rnacentral:rRNA from 1 species